UCUGGAACUGACUGAUUACCGUUAAAAUAUGUUACCAUAGAAUAUAAAUGCAACAUAUAAACAUAUUGGAAACACUCCUAAGGACAAGAAGAUCCAGUUUGUCUUCCAAAAGCAGAAGAAUCAGUUCAGCAUAACGGUAACAUGACUUCCUUUUACACAGAAGGAUGUGCAUGCUGUGCAUCUUGAGAUGGAGAGCAAUGGAAUGCUUUCACAGGAGUGAAGAAAAGGGCUUAAAAGAACGCUAAUAGUAUCAAGCAAGACAUCAGCAGCACAAGGACAGGUUGAGAUCCA